rnacentral:lncRNA from 1 species
GAUACAGACUGCUGCUGUGCCAGCUGGGUAGGAUGCUCUGAAAACCUGGAUAGAAGAUUUUUGAUUCCAAAUGUAUCAAACAACAUUGACCAUCACAGUCAGUACAGUUUCAUCACUACCAUUUUUGAGCAGCACCUUCACAUGUGCAGACUUUGAAGGGAGGAGUAAGAGCUUGAGGGUAGAAAUUUGUAAGAAGAUGGAUUUUGAAAACAAAACAAGACAAACCUUGAGGAAAGACUAUGUGGUGGAGUAAUGAGACAACUGCUGCCUCUGUGGGUCUUCAGUGCAUCCUUGACUUCCUUAAAGAACCUCACACAUCAGAGACUGCUUUUAGUUGAACUUUAUGCAAACAACACAAUUGUUUCUUAGAACAACUAUAUCCCCUCAAUUUUUUAUACCACUUUAACUUUGUUGUAGGUAUGACCAUUUAUAAAAUCAUAUCAAUGUGACCAACAGUCAAUUCUAUCAAAUACCAAAGCAAACUAAGUACAUUAAAAAUAAUGGAGGUGCAUUUUAAAAAGACAUAACAGAAAAGAAUGUCACCAGCAACUUAAUCUCAUUGUUCUUUCUUAAUCACAGAGGAAACAGUUCCAUGAAAUAUGAAGUGAGUAUAUGUGCACUCACAGAACACCCACUGGAGUUGUUCCCUGUUGAAAAGUCCACAAGUGUAUUGACUUCAUGGACAGAGAGGCUUGCAGGGAACUCACUUUGUACAAUAUCUGAAGCUAUAAUUUUAUUUCCUUGGAAAAGUCCUU